GAUGAACGCUGGCGGCGUGCCUAAUACAUGCAAGUCGAGCGAACAGACGAGGAGCUUGCUCCUCUGACGUUAGCGGCGGACGGGUGAGUAACACGUGGAUAACCUACCUAUAAGACUGGGAUAACUUCGGGAAACCGGAGCUAAUACCGGAUAAUAUAUUGAACCGCAUGGUUCAAUAGUGAAAGACGGUUUUGCUGUCACUUAUAGAUGGAUCCGCGCCGCAUUAGCUAGUUGGUAAGGUAACGGCUUACCAAGGCGACGAUGCGUAGCCGACCUGAGAGGGGGAUCGGCCACGCGGGAGAUGGGAAGGGGUCCCACCCCGGACGGGGGACAGCGGCGGGAAAUCUACCGGAGGGGGCGAAAGCCUGACGGGGACACCCCGCGUGAGUGAGAACGGUCUUCGGCUCGUAAAUCUUUUUUUUUUGGGAAGAAAAAAUGUUUAAGUAACUUGACCAGUUUGACAGUAACCGAAUAAGAAGCCCCGGGUAACCCCGUG
rnacentral:rRNA from 1 species